rnacentral:rRNA from 1 species
CCUACGGGAGGCAGCAGUGGGGAAUAUUGGGCAAUGGGCGCAAGCCUGACCCAGCAACGCCGCGUGAAGGAAGAAGGCCCUCGGGUUGUAAACUUCUUUUGUCAGGGACGAAGAAAGUGACGGUACCUGACGAGUAAGCCACGGCUAACUACGUGCCUGCAGCCGCGGUAAUGCGUAGGUGGCAAGCGUUAUCCGGAUUCACUGGGGGUAAAGGGCGUGUAGGCGGGACUGCAAGUCAGAUGGGAAAUUCCAGGGGUCAACCCUGGAACCGCCUUUGAAACUGUAGUUCUUGAGUGAUGGAGGGGCAGGCGGAAUUCCGUGUGUAGCGGUGAAAUGCGUAGAUAUACGGAGGAACACCAGUGGCGAAGGCGGCCUGCUGGACCUUAACUGACGCUGAGGCGCGAAAGCGUGGGGAGCGAACAGGAUUAGAUACCCCAGUAGUC